GUGCCAGCCGCCGCGGUAAUACGUAGGGUGCAAGCGUUAAUCGGAAUUACUGGGCGUAAAGCGUGCGCAGGCGGUUUUGUAAGUCUGUCGUGAAAGCCCCGGGCUCAACCGUGGGAAUUGCGAUGGAGACUGCAAGGCUUGAAUCUGGCAGGAGGGGGGUAGAACUUCCACGUGUAGCAGUGAAAUGCGUAGAGAUGUGGAGGAACACCGA
rnacentral:rRNA from 1 species